rnacentral:rRNA from 1 species
GACGAACGCUGGCGGCGUGCCUAAUACAUGCAAGUUGAGCGCUGAAGGUUGGUACUUGUACCAACUGGAUGAGCAGCGAACGGGUGAGUAACGCGUGGGGAAUCUGCCUUUGAGCGGGGGACAACAUUUGGAAACGAAUGCUAAUACCGCAUAAAAACUUUAAACACAAGUUUUAAGUUUGAAAGAUGCAAUUGCAUCACUCAAAGAUGAUCCCGCGUUGUAUUAGCUAGUUGGUGAGGUAAAGGCUCACCAAGGCGAUGAUACAUAGCCGACCUGAGAGGGUGAUCGGCCACAUUGGGACUGGGACACGGCCCAAACUCCUUCGGGAGGGAGCAGUAGGGAAUCUUCGGCAAUGGAGGAAAGUCUUACCGAGCAACGCCGCGGGAGGGAAGAAGGUUUUCGGAUCGUAAAACUCUGUUGGUAGAGAAGAACGUUGGUGAGAGUGGAAAGCUCAUCAAGUGACGGUAACUACCCAGAAAGGGACGGCUAACUACGUG